rnacentral:rRNA from 1 species
AGAUUAAGUUAUUAAGGGCGCACGGUGGAUGCCUUGGCACUAGAAGCCGAUGAAGGACGUUACUAACGACGAUAUGCUUUGGGUAGCUGUAAGUAAGCGUUGAUCCAGAGAUUUCCGAAUGGGGAACCCAGCAUGAGUUAUGUCAUGUUAUCGACAUGUGAAUUUAUAGCAUGUCAGAAGGCAGACCCGGAAGAACUGAAACAUCUUAGUACCCGGAGGAAGAGAAAGAAAAAUCGAUUCCCUGAGUAGCGGCGAGCGAAACGGGAAGAGCCCAAACCAACAAGCUUGCUUGUUGGGGUUGUAGGACACUCUAUACGGAGUUACAAAAGAACAUGUUAGACGAAUCAUCUGGAAAGAUGAAUCAAAGAAGGUAAUAAUCCUGUAGUCGAAAACAUAUUCUCUCUUGAGUGGAUCCUGAGUACGACGGAGCACGUGAAAUUCCGUCGGAAUCUGGGAGGACCAUCUCCUAAGGCUAAAUACUCUCUAGUGACCGAUAGUGAACCAGUACCGUGAGGGAAAGGUGAAAAGUACCCCGGAAGGGGAAGUGAAAGAGAACUUGAAACCGUGUGCUUACAAGUAGUCAGAGCCCGUUAAUGGGUGAUGGCGUGGCCUUUUGUAGAAUGAACCGGCGAGUUACGAUCUGAUGCAAGGUUAAGCAGCAAAUGUGGAGCCGCAGCGAAAGCGAGUCUGAAUAGGGCGUUGAGUAUUUGGUCGUAGACCCGAAACCAGGUGAUCUACCCUUGGUCAGGUUGAAGUUCAGGUAACACUGAAUGGAGGACCGAACCGACUUACGUUGAAAAGUGAGCGGAUGAACUGAGGGUAGCGGAGAAAUUCCAAUCGAACUUGGAGAUAGCUGGUUCUCUCCGAAAUAGCUUUAAGGGCUAGCCUCAAGUGAUGAUUAUUGGAGGUAGAGCACUGUUUGGACGAGGGGCCCCUCUCGGGUUACCGAAUUCAGACAAACUCCGAAUGCCAAUUAAUUUAACUUGGGAGUCAGAACAUGGGUGAUAAGGUCCGUGUUCGAAAGGGAAACAGCCCAGACCACCAGCUAAGGUCCCAA